rnacentral:rRNA from 1 species
UACAGAGGGUGCGAGCGUUAAUCGGAAUUACUGGGCGUAAAGGGCGCGUAGGUGGGAGUCUAAGUCAGAUGUGAAAGCCCUGGGCUCAACCUAGGAACUGCAUUUGAUACUGGACUGUCUAGAGUGAGGUAGAGGGUGGCGGAAUUCCCGGUGUAGCGGUGAAAUGCGUAGAUAUCGGGAAGAACACCAGUGGCGAAGGCGGCCACCUGGACCUUAACUGACACUGAGGCGCGAAAGCGUGGGUAGCGAACAGG